rnacentral:rRNA from 1 species
AGAUUGAACGCUGGCGGCAUGCCUAACACAUGCAAGUCGAACGGGAGUAGCAAUACUCUAGUGGCGGACGGGUGAGGAAUACGUAGGAAUUUGCCCUUAAGUGGGGGAUAACCCGGGGAAACCCGGAUUAAUACCGCAUGACCUCGAAAGAGCAAAGUGGGGGAUCGCAAGACCUCACGCUUUUGGAGAAGCCUAUGUCGGAUUAGCUUGUUGGCGGGUAAAAGCCCACCAAGGCGACGAUCCGUAGCUGGUCUGAGAGGAUGAUCAGCCACACUGGAACUGAGACACGGUCCAGACUCCUACGGGAGCAGCAGGUGGGGAAUAGUUGGAC